rnacentral:rRNA from 1 species
GACGAACGUUGGCGGCGUGCUUAACACAUGCAAGUCGAACGGAAAGGCCCUGCUUUUGUGGGGUGCUCGAGUGGCGAACGGGUGAGUAACACGUGAGUAACCUGCCCUUGACUUUGGGAUAACUUCAGGAAACUGGGGCUAAUACCGGAUAGGAGCUCCUGCUGCAUGGUGGGGGUUGGAAAGUUUCGGCGGUUGGGGAUGGACUCGCGGCUUAUCAGCUUGUUGGUGGGGUAGUGGCUUACCAAGGCUUUGACGGGUAGCCGGCCUGGGCGGGUGACCGGCCACAUUGGGACUGAGAUACGACCCAGACUCCUACGGGAGGCAGCAGUGGGGAAUAUUGCACAAUGGGCGGAAGCCUGAUGCAGCAACGCCGCGUGCGGGAUGACGGCCUUCGGUUUGUAAACCGCUUUCGCCUGUGACGAAGCGUGAGUGACGGUAAUGGGUAAAGAAGCACCGGCUAACUACGUG